rnacentral:rRNA from 1 species
GUGUCAGCAGCCGCGGUAAUACGUAGGUGGCGAGCGUUAUCCGGAUUUAUUGGGCGUAAAGAGGGCGCUGGUGGUUUUGUAAGUCGGAUGUAAAAUCUCCUGGCUUAACUGGGAGCGGUCAUUCGAUACUGUGAAACUUGAGAGCAACAGAGGCAGGUGGAAUUCCCGGUGUAGUGGUGAAAUGCGUAGAUAUCGGGAGGAACACCAGUGGCGAAAGCGACCUGCUGGGUUGUUUCUGACGCUUAGGCCCGAAAGUGUGGGGAGCAAACAGGAUUAGAUACCCUGGUAGUCCACACUAUAAACUAUGGACACUAGAUAUGGGGAGUAUCGACCCUCUCCGUGUCGAAGCUAACGCGUUAAGUGUCCCGUCUGGGGAGUACGGCCGCAAGGCUAAA